GUGAUCGUAACUAAAACCUGUUUUUGUUCUCACAGUCCUAUCUCACGAGUCACGACUCACCUCCGUGACUCUUCCUCCGUUCCUUUCUCCUGUGCCUCCUCCGUUCCCAUUUUCGAUUUGUUACGGACGGAGGCGGAGGGCUUCUGCUGGGCUCGCCGACGGCGCGCACCUGAGAGGCAACCCCACUCACUACUGCUCACCAUUGGCGCAGGGGCCGUGGGGUUGCUCGUCGCCUCGCUGGGGGGACGGAGGCGAAAGGGGCAGCUCGUGGUCAACGCUUCACCGGUGACGUCGAGGAAGGUAGAUCUCCUUAUGCCUCUUUAAAUGUUGUCGUUGUCCUGUUUCCCCGAUGCCCUGUUGGAUGGAGGCCCGUGUGGGCAGGUAGCAGCCAGCCAAGCAAGUCUGUGUGGGCACUAGGGUUUCAGCCUAGUUUUGUGCAAUCCACAAUAGUGUCGAUUUGUGGUUUGAUUUGUUGAUUUAUGGUUCGAUUCGUCGAUGCGUGUUUUGAUUUUUGGUUUGAUUCGAGGUAUGUGGCUGAUGCCCUCCUUAUUCCUGUGAUUGCCCCUUGUUUCCUUGGGUUAGAUCUGCUCGAGAGGUCAAUUCCUUUGGCAUGACGAGCUUUGGUGAUUCCUCUCGAUAGCAACUUGUUGUCUGGGUGGAUUGAUACGCAGAACUUCAGGGCAUGUUGAUGCGGGGCUGCUGGUGAAAAUGUGAUUAGGUUAGGUAUUCAGCAUUGCUUUUGCACUAGGCAUACUACUCUACCUGUCCUUGUCUCCAAUUUCGUUAGGUGCAUAGUAGUAGUGGUGCGUGCCUUUAAUUGUUUUGAUCAGUAGAAUACAUGAGCCUCUAAUUGUCGUGUCAGAGAAGUAAUUUAGUCUUCAUAGUGGUAGUGUUUAAUGUUAGCUAAGCAUUAAUCCUUGUUUGCUUGCAAUAUAGUCUCAUUUUUUUGUUCAUACGGUCAGCACUUAUCACAAGCUAAAAGGCAACUAGAAGGGUGCCAUGGUGGGUUCUAAUCAUUGUGCAUUGCAGAUAGAAAUUUCUGCUAAGAUGUGAUUUUUUUUAAAAACAUAUGAGAUUACUUAAUCUGAGUUAUGUUACUCCCUUCUCUGUUCUAGGUUUUAAGUACUUGGAGUUAUCUAAUUUUACUUCAAUGUCAAAUAAAUGCAGAAUCUCCAUUAUUAUUGUAUGGCUAUAUAUUUGGUGUGCCUACAUGUCUUGUCUCCUUGUUGAUCUAUUUUGAGCUUCUAAGUGAGUUCAUUCUGAACAUAUGAUGGAUAUCUUCAUUCAUUUUGUGUGCUAUAGGAUGAGUAGAUAUAGUAUGCUGUUUUUUGUCCCCUGCACUAGAGCCUGCAGCUAUUUUGCUUAUUGCAUUAUUGUUGGUAAUGUUAUGCAAAUUGUAACUUGUAUCACAAUAGAUUCCAUUUUAAUUGGAUACUUUUGGUAAGUAUUAGUGUGAAUUUUCUAGUCGGCAUCUGCUACUAUUUUUAGUUGUCUUUUAUUUUCAGAUGUGCAUCAGGCAUAUAUGUUCCUCAUUCUUUUCUACAAUGUGACAGGUAGGUUACUCCUUAUUUUUUUUAGCAUAUGUAUGCCGAGCAUUUAAGUUUGUUUCAUUUUUGUUGAGAACCUGUCCAUUAGCUUUUGUUUUGGCUGUAUUUUGGAGAACAUGAUCAUUUUUUAUAGCUGAAUUCUGUUGUCCUUCUUAUAUUAGCUAAAAUUUCAGAAUUAUUAUACUAGAAUUACACCCUCAAUUAGUAUUGUAAUUUUCUAGUUUGUCACUGUUAAUCGUGAAAUAUGAAAAUGUGCAUUACUUCACUAGGAUUUCUAUGCCAAAUUUUACCAAGUCUUUUUAUUUCUUCCUACUAUUUUUUUCUUGAAUUGCAUGAGUAUAGUUGAGGAGUUGAGGGAGGGAGAACUCAGGUGAAGAACUUUUCCUUUGUUUAUAGUGGCUAUAAAAUGAUAAGUAACUGGAUUCCCUGAUAUAAGAGCUUUCUUUAUAUUCUCUAAUUUAAUAAAAAAAACUGAUAGCUUAUGUUCUUGUUGCUUGUACUUGUCAUGCUUUGUUCAAGCUAAAGAACUACCAGAUUCAAUCUCUUUUUUUUCCUGAUUUGUUUGUUUGUCAUUGUUGUUCUGAUUUAAAAAUGAUUGUUCUCUGUUUUGAUUUGGUCAAUAUCAAUUUGGUGUAUAUAAAGUCAUAAGCAUUUAGAUUUGCAGCCACCACCGCCUCAAUCAUUCCCUUUUCACAGCCACCACCGCCUCAAUCAUUCCCUUUUCACCUGUGGUUCCAGUUAUUCUCGAGAUAGUUUAGAAAAAAAUGCUUAUGAGUAUCAGUUAAUUUUGUAGUAGUCUUGGGUAAACUGUAAGCUACCAAUUCGUAACUAGGAUUGUUUGCUACUUGUGGUAAAAAAACAUUGCUUUAUGUAUCGUCUUAACAUACUUUUGGGUUCUGAAUUUUCGUAUUUCCGUUGUGGUUACCAUAUAAGCAUUGAGAGGCUAGUUGAUUCAACGAGUUCUGAUGGUCUCUAGUGUUAUCUGUGGCUGCUGAUGGGUUACUUUUGAUUUUAAUUAAUUAGCACUUCUGAUCAGUGACUAUAAAUUAUAAGUAACUUAUGCUAGAAUUACACUGUGAUUUAGUAAUGUAAUUUUCUAUUAUGGUAUUGUACAAUAUAUCUUCCUCUUUCCCAGUCAAAUGAACAACCAUGGGAGUUUAGUGUUUACAAGUCUUGUGGCAUCUUUACUGAAGCUAAGUGAUGCUAGAUUGGCCUUUGCUGCUUUGGUGCCUUGCUUGGAUAAACUGUCCUCUUCAACCUGAUCUGUAUGCUAGCUCUUUAUUUAGUUCUGAGUCAUAAGUACAUUUAUAACUUUAACAUAUCAAUAUUAAGUUAAAUGAUAAUAGCUAUAGCUACUUGCCAAGAUUAUGAUAUGGUACUAUGACAAUCCUAGCAUGUCUCUUUUCGGGAUAUUGUAAAUUGCUACUUUUGCCAAGAUUUAACUAUGUUUGUCUGCGCUCUUUUGUUUGCGCUUGCUUCGGAAGACAGCAGCGAGCAUCGAUUUCGUCUAGCAGUAGCAGCCUUUGGCCUUUUGUUUUCGGAUCGACGGCAACAAUUCGAGCUAGACAUCAGUGCAGGUGGCCGUCAUGUGGUUGGGGCACAAGUCUGCUGUCUUUCCUCCUUAGUCUAUGCAUUGAUGUCUAUUGGACUUUUUUUUUUCUUUUCUUUAGUGAUGUUUGGUUGUCCUGCAUGCAUUACAAUAGAAUGGGUCUGCCUACAAUGCAGUCAUUUCAUUUCUAUCAGCCUUUUAAGUGACAUUUAUUUUACCCUAUUUUAAUUACAGCCCACUAAUGCUGUUUUUAUAGUAUUUUGGAAUAUCAUAUUUUUUUGUUUUUAA